ACCUUGUGGAAGUUUGUAUUUAGAUUUAUGGUUUUCUUGAUCUUUUCCAGCGAUGUUUCGUACAAUAACUUUUCACGGUCACCAAGAUGCAGCAGCAGUAACGAGAAUAAUAUAAACUGGUUUCGAAGCUCGUCCAGCAAUAAUAAAUUAAGCGAUCUUCUUCCAUGCUCAGAGAUAUCUCGGUGCCCAAAA